rnacentral:rRNA from 1 species
AACGAACGCUGGCGGCAUGCCUAACACAUGCAAGUCGAACGAGAUCUUCGGGUCUAGUGGCGCACGGGUGCGUAACGCGUGGGAAUCUGCCCUUUGGUUCGGAAUAACAGUUGGAAACGACUGCUAAUACCGGAUGAUGACGAAAGUCCAAAGAUUUAUCGCCAGAGGAUGAGCCCGCGUAGGAUUAGCUAGUUGGUGUGGUAAAGGCGCACCAAGGCGACGAUCCGUAGCUGGUCUGAGAGGAUGAUCAGCCAAACUGGGACUGAGACACGGCCCAGACUCCUACGGGGGGCAGCAGUGGGGAAUAUUGGACAAUGGGCAAAAGCCUGAUCCAGCAAUGCCGCGUGAGUGAUGAAGGCCUUAGGGUUGUAAAGCUCUUUUACCCGGGAUGAUAAUGACAGUACCGGGAGAAUAAGCUCCGGCUAACUCCGUGCCAGCCGCCGCCGUAACAC